CCUACGGGAGGCAGCAGUGGGGAAUAUUGGACAAUGGGGGGAACCCUGAUCCAGCCAUGCCGCGUGUGUGAAGAAGGCCUUUUGGUUGUAAAGCACUUUAAGCAGUGAAGAAGACCUAACGGUUAAUACCCGUUAGCGAUGACAUUAGCUGCAGAAUAAGCACCGGCUAACUCUGUGCCAGCAGCCGCGGUAAU
rnacentral:rRNA from 1 species